UCGGCCCCUGCCCCAACCCCCACCGCCGCUCCGGGCGUUCGAGGGGGCGCCCGGCCGGGGCGACUUCCAGCGUGACCCCCUUACCCGAGCCUCGUAGCCCACGGUGGCCACUGCCCGCCCGCCCGCCCCGCCGCGGACUGGUGUCCCGAGUCCUGUCACCCGUCUCCCCAACCCCCCCCCGCCCCGCCCCGCGCCACCAGUCCCACUCUCGCAUGGGCGAGUAACCCUCGUCGUCCCGGUCCCGGCCCCGCGGCGCAGCCGGGCCGCCGUCCGCCGUACCUGGUGGUGGUUGUAGGAGUUCCUCUGCUGCAGGAAGGCGGCAGCCGCCGCCUGGUGCUGCUGCUGGAGCUGCGGGCUGACGGGAGACCUCCGGCUCUGCGGCUGCUGCGGCGCCGCGGGCGGCGGGGGCUGCUGCUGAGGUCACCUCAUGUUCCAUGGAGCUCCAACUAUCAGAACCAUAUCUCAGGCAUCAGGAGAAAGAAAAGGUGAUGGAGAAAAGGGAUGCUCCUUCAACUUGAAGAUAGAGGCAAAGAUGUAAAGCUGCAGGAAGAACCAAGGCAAAAUGCAUAGGUAAAACAAGUUUAAAACACCAGGAAAACAAUAUCAAUGUCACCUGAGAUUGCUGAUCACUUUAAAUGCUAGAAAGAGAGUUUAUUGUGACUUCUUACUGGCUACCCAAAGCUCUAUGACCACUAUUGGCUUGUACCCAAGAGUUUAUUCCAUUGUUCCAGAUUUAUUUUAGGCUCCAGGAAAGAAUCAUUGGCCCGAAUACUUCAUUUUCCAACCAAUCUCAAUAGCAAUGAUAUUCGGCAUAAUUUUGCUUGUUGGCUUUGUUUCAAACCAUCAGCUUUCCAUCAACACAUUUUGUCUCCGAAGGCAAAAUCACAGUUUCUGCCCUCUACAUUUUUAUGAAGGUUCUCAUCUCUGGGGAUGUUAUACUCAAAGUUACCAGAUGUGCAAAUAUAGCCUCAGGCUGAAUCUGUGGCUCCAUUAUAAUCGGACUUCCUGUUUUGACAACUAUCUGCUCAUACAAAGAGGAACAGGUAACAUCUCGAAGUGAAUUCACUGCAACCAUUUGGAAUGAAAUCUUCCAGGUGCAACGACUGACAACCCCUCAAUAGAGAAAAUGACAGCAUUUGCAGCUUGGAGAGUCACCUCAUAAAUGUGCUGUCCCACUUUUGGUAUACAGAUUCUAAUUUAAAUUUGAUUUGUUAGAAAUUUUCCAAGCUACUGAGAAAUUAAGCAUGGACUGAAAUGCCUUUCAUCAGAGAAUUAAUGUCAGGAUCACUGGUGAUAUAACAUACAGAAGAAAUUAUAGCUCAAAUAUAAUGGAAAAAUACCUUAUUUAAAAUCAAGAGAAUUGAUUUCUAAUUCACAAGUUUGAUCUAAGUCGCUGUGUAACCUUGGGCAAUGUCCUUGUAGGGUAUCCUUUUCUUUCCUUGUAAAUAAAGGGCUACAGUUGGAGCCUUCAGUCC